rnacentral:rRNA from 1 species
CAGUAGGGAGGAAGGUAGUGUAGUUAACACCUGCAUUAUUUGACGUUACCUACAGAAGAAGCACCGGCUAACUCCGUGCCAGCAGCCGCGGUAAUACGGAGGGUGCGAGCGUUAAUCGGAAUUACUGGGCGUAAAGCGCAUGCAGGCGGCUUGUUAAGUCAGAUGUGAAAGACCCGGGGCGUUAACCUCGGAAAUUGCAUUUGUAAACUAGGCAGGCUAGAGUCUUGUAGAGGGGGGUAGGAAUUUCAGGUGUAGCGGUGAAAUGCGUAGAGAUCUGAAGGAAUACCAGUGGCGAAGGCGGCCCCCUCGGACAAAGACUGACGCUCAGAUGCGAAAGCGUGGGGAGCAAACAGGAUUAGAUACCCUGGUAG